GACGAACGCUGGCGGCGUGCUUAACACAUGCAAGUCGAACGAAGAGCGAUGGAAGCUUGCUUCUAUCAAUCUUAGUGGCGAACGGGUGAGUAACGCGUAAUCAACCUGCCCUUCAGAGGGGGACAACAGUUGGAAACGACUGCUAAUACCGCAUACGAUCUAACCUCGGCAUCGAGGAAAGAUGAAAGGUGGCCUCUAUUUAUAAGCUAUCACUGAAGGAGGGGAUUGCGUCUGAUUAGCUAGUUGGAGGGGUAACGGCCCACCAAGGCGAUGAUCAGUAGCCGGUCUGAGAGGAUGAACGGCCACAUUGGGACUGAGACACGGCCCAGACUCCUACGGGAGGCAGCAGUGGGGAAUCUUCCGCAAUGGACGAAAGUCUGACGGAGCAACGCCGCGUGAGUGAUGACGGCCUUCGGGUUGUAAAGCUCUGUUAAUCGGGACGAAAGGCCUUCUUGCGAACAGUUAGAAGGAUUGACGGUACCG
rnacentral:rRNA from 1 species